UUAAUAAGUGAACUGUAUCAUACUUGUAGUACUUGACGAAGUGGGAAAAUUUCUCAGAAAAAAGAAAAAAACUUGAUAAAUUUGAAAUUGACAUGAAAUUAAGCGUUAUUGAACCACUGCACGCCCGCUGGCUAGUGAAAACACAAAAACAAUUAGAAACAAAGAAUGACCUUAUUCGUAGCGCUUUCGAAGCCGCAGGGAUAAAAGUUAAUCAAUAAAUCCUUUGAUCUAUGUGACAACUACAAUGUGUUAAUCGGUACUAUUUACAGGUGUACUUUACCUAACUGUAAUGUGUGUUGUUUUUAUAACAAUUUUAUCAGUGUCAGAAUUAGACUCGAGAUAAUUUUUAAUCCAUUUGUCAUUAUUAUUAAUAAAUAUCUUAUUACCAAAUGGCUUUGUAUAUAAACUUUUAGAAUCAAAGGUAAAGUAGUGUCCAUUAAAAGUUGUUGGUAUACAUUUGUUGUCGACAUAUACUAUUUUCAGACCAUGUGUUUGGAGUAGAUAUUGUUCAUGACUAUACUUCGAUAUAGGUAGGAAACACAUCUUUUCCAGUUAAAUAUUCGCGGUAGUUUUAUUUUCGCGUACCAAUUGCAACCGCGAAAAUAAAACUACCGCGAAAAUUUCCCGGUUUACAGUA
rnacentral:lncRNA from 1 species